GUGCCAGCAGCCGCGGUAAAACCAGCACCUCAAGUGGUCAGGAUGAUUAUUGGGCCUAAAGCAUCCGUAGCCUGUUUUGUAAGUUUCCGGUUAAAUCCAUUAGCUCAACUAAUGGGCUGCCGAAAAUACUGCAAAACUAGGGAGUGGGAGAGGUAGACGGUACUCGGUAGGAAGGGGUAAAAUCCUUUGAUCUAUUGAUGACCACCUGUGGCGAAGGCGGUCUACCAGAACACGUUCGACGGUGAGGGAUGAAAGCUGGGGGAGCAAACCGGAUUAGAUACCCGGGUAGUCCCAGCUGUAAACGAUGCAGACUCGGUGAUGCCCUGGCUUGUGGCCAGUGCAGUGCCGCAGGGAAGCCGUUAAGUUUGCCGCCUGGGAAGUACGUACGCAAGUAUGAAACUUAAAGGAAUUGGCGGGGGAGCACCACAAGGGGUGAAGCCUGCGGUUCAAUUGGAGUCAACGCCAGAAAUCUUACCCGAAGAGACAGCAGAAUGAAGGUCAAGCUGGAGACUUUACCAGACAAGCUGAGAAGUGGUGCAUGGCCGUCGCCAGCUCGUGCCGUGAGAUGUCCUGUUAAGUCAGGUAACGAGCGAGAUCCCUGCCUCUAGUUGCCACCAUUACUCUCCGGAGUAGUGGGGCGAAUUAGCGGGACCGCCGUAGUUAAUACGGAGGAAGGAAGGGGCCACGGCAGGUCAGUAUGCCCUGAAACUUUGGGGCCACACGCGGGCUGCAAUGGUAGUGACAGUGGGUUCCGAAUCCGAAAGGUGGAGGUAAUCCUCAAACACUACCACAGUUAUGAUUGAGGGCUGCAACUCGUCCUCAUGAAUAUGGAAUCCCUAGUAACUGCGUGUCAUUAUCGCGCGGUGAAUACGUCCCUGCUCCUUGCACACACUGCCCGUC
rnacentral:rRNA from 1 species